CAGUCGCAGCCCUUCUACCUCUUUUCUUGCGCGUGCGUGCAGCUCCUAUGCUCAGCCUAAGAGGUGGAGGGGCCGUGCGGAGUGUGGGCCCGAGGGUCCAUAGAUGACGUAUCAGUCGAUAGGCAUUUAGUCUACUGUUCGAAGAAAACAAAUAAGGGUGCAGCUUAGGCGAAAAGAAAAACAUCUUAUUGCCAAUGUCUAAACUCCAACGGAAUGUGUCUGAGACCGUGUGUAUGGAUACACGUGUACUUGAAACAGACCCGCCUGUGUGUACAGCUCUUGCUGUAAGUCAACGCUUUACCGGAGCUAUCGCACUUAAGCCUCAGAACAACUUUAUGAGAUGAUUUCUCAGAAGUGGGAAUACCAGUUCCCAAAAGGUCUACUUCUAACAGGCUUGUUUAUAUGCAUUCUUAUUCUAUCCUGGAUUGGAAUCAGAAAAUUGGACAGUGUUGCAGGUUCUGACUGAUGCAGGCACACCGACAGUGAUGAAAGUGAGAACUGUGUCCUGUGAUGUACAACUCCCAUGGGCAACAUUUACAUUGUAAUGUAUGUAAAUGGAAUUUCCUGAAGCACAAUUAAGAGGCUACAGAAUUACUGACUUUUAUGAAUCAACAAGCCCAAGUAAAGUCAAGAUCCUGACAUCUGGGACUUCCCUGGUGGCGCAGCGGUUAAGAAUCCGCCUGCCAAUGCAGGGGACACAGGUUCGAGCCCUGGUCCGGGAAGAUCCCACGUGCUGUGGAGCAACUAAGCCUGUGCACCACAACUACUGAGCCUGUGCUCUAGAGCCCACGAGCCACAACUGCUGAGCCUGUGUGCCACAACUACUGAAGCCCACGUGCUCUAGGGCCCAUGUGCCACAACUACUGAGCCCACGUGCUGCAACUACUGAAGCCCACGCUCCUAGAGCCCAUGCUCUGCAAUGAGAAGCCACCGCAAUGAGAAGCCCGCGUGCCGCAACGAAGAGUAGCCCCCACUCACCGCAACUAGAGAAAGCCCGCGUGCAGCAACAAAGACCCAACGCAGCCAAAAAAAGAUCCCGACAUCUAAAAACAUGUAAUCCUUUAAAUGUCAUUUUGUUUUAAUUAUGUAACAUGAGUUUAUUAUAAAAUUACUUACAGGAAUAAUCUUGAUAGCAUUUUGUUUUUUAACUUUGAGAAGUCAUUGAUUGCCUUGCCAAUGAUCUAGUGAGGUCCAAAGUCAGGGACAAUUCAAGGAGGGAAUGGAAGAACUUUUAGGACCUGAUUAUCUCCUUGAAGGUGCAGCCACUGUGGGUGUCCUACCUAGCUUGGGAGAGACAGAGGUGUCUGUGUACAGGAGGCCUGACCUGGAGGGGAGGGAAUGGUCAUGAGGGAGAAAAAUGGGGGACAUUUAUGAGACUGCCCACUCAGAUUGGCUCUCGAUUUGCUUUGCUGUAAUGAUGCAAUGUUUGGGUUUUUAUGUUCCAUUCUAAUAUCAAAAAGAGGAUAUUUAUUUGGUUUCUUAUGUUUAAACAUUUUUCGUAUACAAUAUAUUGUUUAUACAUCUA